UACGGGGGGGGCAAGCGUUGUUCGGAAUUACUGGGCGUAAAGGGCUCGUAGGUGGCCAACUAAGUCAGACGUGAAAUCCCUCGGCUUAACCGGGGAACUGCGUCUGAUACUGGAUGGCUGGAGAUUGGGAGAGGGAUGCGGAAUUCCAGGUGUAGCGGUGAAAUGCGUAGAUAUCUGGAGGAACACCAAUGGCGAAGGCAACUUCCUGGGGCAAUACUGACACUGAUGUGCGAAAGCGUGGGGAGCAAACAGG
rnacentral:rRNA from 1 species